rnacentral:rRNA from 1 species
AGAGUUUGAUCAUGGCUCAGGAUGAACGCUGGCGGCGUGCCUAAUACAUGCAAGUCGAGCGAACGGACGAGAAGCUUGCUUCUCUGAUGUUAGCGGCGGACGGGUGAGUAACACGUGGAUAACCUACCUAUAAGACUGGGAUAACUUCGGGAAACCGGAGCUAAUACCGGAUAAUAUUUUAAACCGCAUGGUUCAAAAGUGAAAGACGGUCUUGCUGUCACUUAUAGAUGGAUCCGCGCUGCAUUAGCUAGUUGGUAAGGUAACGGCUUACCAAGGCAACGAUGCAUAGCCGACCUGAGAGGGUGAUCGGCCACACUGGAACUGAGACACGGUCCAGACUCCUACGGGAGGCAGCAGUAGGGAAUCUUCCGCAAUGGGCGAAAGCCUGACGGAGCAACGCCGCGUGAGUGAUGAAGGUCUUCGGAUCGUAAAACUCUGUUAUUAGGGAAGAACAUAUGUGUAAGUAACUGUGCACAUCUUGACGGUACCUAAUCAGAAAGCCACGGCUAACUACGUGCCAGCAGCCGCGGUAAUACGUAGGUGGCAAGCGUUAUCCGGAAUUAUUGGGCGUAAAGCGCGCGUAGGCGGUUUUUUAAGUCUGAUGUGAAAGCCCACGGCUCAACCGUGGAGGGUCAUUGGAAACUGGAAAACUUGAGUGCAGAAGAGGAAAGUGGAAUUCCAUGUGUAGCGGUGAAAUGCGCAGAGAUAUGGAGGAACACCAGUGGCGAAGGCGACUUUCUGGUCUGUAACUGACGCUGAUGUGCGAAAGCGUGGGGAUCAAACAGGAUUAGAUACCCUGGUAGUCC